rnacentral:rRNA from 1 species
UACGAGGGGAGCAAGCGUUGUUCGGAUUUACUGGGCGUAAAGGGCGCGUAGGCGGCUCAACAAGUCACUUGUGAAAUCUCCGGGCUUAACCCGGAGCGGCCAAGUGAUACUGUUGUGCUAGAGUGCGGAAGGGGCUACUGGAAUUCUCGGUGUAGCGGUGAAAUGCGUAGAUAUCGAGAGGAACACCUGCGGCGAAGGCGGGUAGCUGGGCCGACACUGACGCUGAGGCGCGAAAGCCAGGGGAGCGAACGGG